rnacentral:lncRNA from 1 species
GUAGAUGUAUGCCGGUGGUGGAGGUGACUUUACGGGUGGUGGAGGAGAUGAGUAGACGUAUGGCGGUGGCGGUGAUUUUACGGGUGGUGGAGGUGAUGAGUAGACAUAUGGUGGUGGCGGUGAUUUUACGGGUGGUGGAGGUGAUGAGUACACAUAGGGUGGUGGCGGUGACUUUACGGGUGGUGGAGGUGAUGAGUACACGUACGGUGGUGGCGGUGACUUUACCGGUGGUGGAGGUGAUGCGUACACGUACGGUGGUGGCGGUGACUUCAAAGGUGGUGGAGGUGAUGAGUAAACGUAUGGUGGUGGAGGUGACUUCACGGGUGGUGGAGGUGAUGAGUACACGUACGGUGGUGGUGGUGACUUUACGGGUGGUGGAGGUGAUGAGUACACAUAUGGUGGUGGUGGUGACUUCACGGGUGGUGGAGGUGAUGAGUAGUAGUACGGUGGUGGUGGUGACUUCACGGGUGGUGGAGGUGAUGAGUACACGUAUGGUGGUGGUGGUGACUUCACGGGUGGUGGAGGUG